CAACAUGACUCAGCGCCUGCGCGGGUGAGUCUGCCUUGGUCAGGUUUCUUGUUUACAAAGUUGCUUUUUUCUCUGUUUCCGUGCUGUGCUCCCUGGAAGGAAGUCUCCAUGUGCAGCCCACACUGAGGAAGCCUGGGGCAACAGCAAGACGGCAGCAGCCAUGGCGAGGCAGAAGAGUCAACGCCAGCCCAGGAAGCAUCAGGAAGUCCACAUCAGGGGAGUGAGAUGGACAGAGAUCAAGGAAGGUGGAACAUUCUAGAGGCCUGAGACCCAGUUGGCUGCCCUCACACUGGACAGACAAGGAAGUUGCCCUGUAACCCUCACCAGAAGCCUGGAGAUAAUUUUAGAGGCCUGCCUGGAGUUUGAAGAACGCUCCUGAAAGAGAGGGACUCAGCUGGUGCAACCCUUCCCCUUUCCUCUUUCUCCUUGCUUUGAACAUGGAUCUAAUGGCAGGAGCUAAGGCAGCCAUCUUGUGACCAUGAGGAAAGAGACUGACAGCAGUUUCAGCCGGGCAUGCCUCAGCCAUUGAACAGCACCUUAGAUUUCUCACGUGAGAAAAAUAAAUUCCUGUUUGUUUAAAUCACUGAAGUAGUUUUUUG
rnacentral:lncRNA from 10 species